rnacentral:rRNA from 1 species
UGGGACCUACGGGGCGCAGCAGUGGGGGAUAUUGCACAAUGGGGGGAACCCUGAUGCAGCGACGCCGCGUGGGUGAAGGAGUGCUUCGGCAUGUAAAGCCCUAUCGGCAGGGAAGAAGCAAGACGGUACCUGACUAAGAAGCCCCGGCUAACUACGUGCCAGCAGCCGCGGUAAUACGUAGGGGGCGAGCGUUAUUCGGAUUCACUGGGUGCAAAGGGAGCGUAGACGGCCCAGAAAGCCAGGGGUGAAAGCCCGGGGCCCAAC